rnacentral:rRNA from 1 species
GUCGAACGAACUCUGGUAUUGAUUGGUGCUUGCAUCAUGAUUUACAUUUGAGUGAGUGGCGAACUGGUGAGUAACACGUGGGAAACCUGCCCAGAAGCGGGGGAUAACACCUGGAAACAGAUGCUAAUACCGCAUAACAACUUGGACCGCAUGGUCCGAGCUUGAAAGAUGGCUUCGGCUAUCACUUUUGGAUGGUCCCGCGGCGUAUUAGCUAGAUGGUGGGGUAACGGCUCACCAUGGCAAUGAUACGUAGCCGACCUGAGAGGGUAAUCGGCCACAUUGGGACUGAGACACGGCCCAAACUCCUACGGGAGGCAGCAGUAGGGAAUCUUCCACAAUGGACGAAAGUCUGAUGGAGCAACGCCGCGUGAGUGAAGAAGGGUUUCGGCUCGUAAAACUCUGUUGUUAAAGAAGAACAUAUCUGAGAGUAACUGUUCAGGUAUUGACGGUAUUUAACCAGAAAGCCACGGCUAACUACGUGCCAGCAGCCGCGGUAAUACGUAGGUGGCAAGCGUUGUCCGGAUUUAUUGGGCGUAAAGCGAGCGCAGGCGGUUUUUUAAGUCUGAUGUGAAAGCCUUCGGCUCAACCGAAGAAGUGCAUCGGAAACUGGGAAACUUGAGUGCAGAAGAGGACAGUGGAACUCCAUGUGUAGCGGUGAAAUGCGUAGAUAUAUGGAAGAACACCAGUGGCGAAGGCGGCUGUCUGGCUGUAACUGACGCUGAGGCUCGAA